rfam:Gossypium raimondii chromosome 8, whole genome shotgun sequence.
UGUUUGCCUAUGAUGGUAUUAAAUAUACUUUGAGAGAUUCUUUUUUCUCAUUGAAAAAAAUCAAAUCUGAGGCAAAAA